AGAGCGAACGCUGGCGGCAGGCUUAACACAUGCAAGUCGAGCGGGCGUAGCAAUACGUCAGCGGCAGACGGGUGAGUAACGCGUGGGAACGUACCUUUUGGCUCGGAACAACACAGGGAAACUUGUGCUAAUACCGGAUAAGCCCUUACGGGGAAAGAUUUAUCGCCAAAACGAUCGGCCCGCGUCUGAUUAGCUAGUUGGUGAGGUAACGGCUCACCAAGGCGACGAUCAGUAGCUGGUCUGAGAGGAUGAUCAGCCACAUUGGGACUGAGACACGGCCCAAACUCCUACGGGAGGCAGCAGUGGGGAAUAUUGGACAAUAGGGCGCAAGCCUGAUCCAGCCACUGCCGCGUGAGUGAUGAAGGCCCUAGGGUUGUAAAGCUCUUUUAGUGCGGGAAGAUAAAUGACGGUUACCGCAAGAAUAAGCCCCGGCUAACUUACGUGCCAGCAGCCGC
rnacentral:rRNA from 1 species